rnacentral:lncRNA from 1 species
UCUAUAGGUGCCUGGUGCUACGACUCCCAGGACCCCAAGUGUGGUCCCACCCACUGGAAGAAGCUGGCCCCUGCCUGUGGGGGCCCAGGCCAGUCCCUCAUCGACAUUGACUUUCACAGGGUCCGGCGGAACUCUACCCUAGGGCCCUUCAUCUUCCGAGGCUAUGACUCAGCACCUCCAGGCCCUUGGACCCUGGAGAAUGACAGCCACACAUUGCUACUCUGAAUGGACACUGAUCCUCAGAACCACCUGGAGAUUUGGGAGGCUGGGCUGCUGUUGCCUGUCUACCGCGCACUGCGGCUGCACAUCAGCUGGGGGCGGGGGGGGGGCCCGAGGCGAGCAGACUCAGAGCACAGCCUGGACAGGCAGCGCCAGGCUAUGGAGAUGCAUGUGGUCCACAGUAACACAAAGUACCAGAGCAUGGAGGAGGCACCACGCCACGGUGAUGGGAGCAGGACUGUAGCAACACCAACUUCUGCGCCAUAGUGUCGGGCUUGAGGAAGGUGCCUGAGCCAGGUGGGCUCUCAGUGAAUCUGAUGUCCACCUUCCUGCUGGCGUCGAUGCGGCCCAACACCUCGAGCUACUGUCGCUUCGCUGGGUCACUGACCCCGCCUGACUGCGAGCCCACGGUGCUCUGGACCGUCUUCGAGGACCCCAUACCCAUCCGGUGGGUGCAGGUGGAGCCACCGUCCCCCCUCGCCCCCCACACCCCUCCCCGGGCCUUGCCUGGCUCCUCCCGCAGGCGCUGCCCCUCUCCCACCCCGUUUUGAUCUCUUUGCCCUGCACCCUCAGAUGACCCUGUUCCACACCGUGCCCCAGGCUGGACCCUCCCACUUUCACCCCAUACCGCUCACGGGUAACUUCCGCCCACAGCAGCCU